GUAUAUAAUUUAAUCCUAUUUGAUUUGUCAAACAUUCAAGCGUAAACAUCAGCAUCGGUCCUGGUUUGCACCGGGAGCCCCGCUGUGCAUAUGUGAUGAUGGUCAGUGUGAGGAAGAGCUUACCCCCGAAGAGACAAACCCCAGCCAAACAACAACCACACCAAACUGAUUUGCAAUGAUCCUUCCGCAGGUUCACCUACGGAAA
rnacentral:misc_RNA from 1 species